GAUGAAGAACGUAGCGAAAUGCGAUAAGUAAUGUGAAUUGCAGAAUUCAGUGAAUCAUCGAAUCUUUGAACGCACAUUGCGCCCGCCAGUAUUCUGGCGGGCAUGCCUGUUCGAGCGUCAUUUCAACCAUCAAGCCCUGCUUGCGUUGGGGUCCUGCGGCUGCCCGCAGGCCCUGAAAACCAGUGGCGGGCUCGCUAGUCACACCGAGCGCAGUAAUACAUCUCGCUUUGGGCGUGCGGCGGGUUCUUGCCGUUAAACACCCCCUUUUUACCAAGGUUGGCCUCGGAUCAGGUAGGAAUACCCGCUGAACUUAAGCAUAUCAAUAAGCGGAGGA
rnacentral:misc_RNA from 1 species